rnacentral:rRNA from 1 species
UUACGUCUACCAGAUCACGCCAUACGAUCUACGGCACAUGAAUCCAACGCUGGAUUAAUCUUCUGUGAUAGUCGAUCGUUAAGCGAUUCAGCACCUUACCUCAGGCACCUUCGGGUGCCUUUUUUAUUUCCGAAACGCACCUCAGCAAGUGAAUAAAUUUUAUUCAUAUUGUUAUCAAUAAGUUAUCAAGUAUUUUUAAUUAAAAUGGAAAUUGUUUUUGAUUUUGCAUUUUAAAUGAGUAGUCUUAGUUGUGCUGAACGAAAAGCGCACAACGAUCCUUCGUUCACAGUGGGGAAGUUUUCGGAUCCAUGACGAGGAGCUGCACGAUGACUGAACAGGCAACAACAACCGAUGAACUGGCUUUCACAAGGCCGUAUGGCGAGCAGGAGAAGCAAAUUCUUACUGCCGAAGCGGUAGAAUUUCUGACUGAGCUGGUGACGCAUUUUACGCCACAACGCAAUAAACUUCUGGCAGCGCGCAUUCAGCAGCAGCAAGAUAUUGAUAACGGAACGUUGCCUGAUUUUAUUUCGGAAACAGCUUCCAUUCGCGAUGCUGAUUGGAAAAUUCGCGGGAUUCCUGCGGACUUAGAAGACCGCCGCGUAGAGAUAACUGGCCCGGUAGAGCGCAAGAUGGUGAUCAACGCGCUCAACGCCAAUGUGAAAGUCUUUAUGGCCGAUUUCGAAGAUUCACUGGCCCCGGACUGGAACAAAGUGAUCGACGGGCAAAUUAACCUGCGUGAUGCAGUUAACGGCACCAUCAGCUAUACCAAUGAAGCAGGCAAAAUUUAUCAGCUCAAGCCCAAUCCAGCGGUUUUGAUUUGUCGGGUACGCGGUCUACACUUGCCGGAAAAACAUGUCACCUGGCGUGGUGAGGCAAUCCCCGGUAGCCUGUUUGAUUUUGCGCUCUAUUUCUUCCACAACUAUCAGGCACUGUUGGCAAAGGGCAGCGGUCCCUAUUUCUAUCUGCCGAAAACCCAGUCCUGGCAGGAAGCGGCCUGGUGGAGCGAAGUCUUCAGCUAUGCAGAAGAUCGCUUUAAUCUGCCGCGCGGCGCCAUCAAGGCGACGUUGCUGAUUGAAACGCUGCCCGCCGUGUUCCAGAUGGACGAAAUCCUUCACGCGCUGCGCGACCAUAUUGUUGGUCUGAACUGCGGUCGCUGGGAUUACAUCUUCAGCUAUAUCAAAACGUUGAAAAACUAUCCCGAUCGUGUCCUGCCAGACAGACAGGCCGUGACGAUGGAUAAACCAUUCCUGAAUGCUUACUCACGCCUGCUGAUUAAAACCUGCCAUAAACGCGGUGCUUUUGCGAUGGGCGGCAUGGCAGCGUUUAUUCCGAGCAAAGAUGAAGAGCGUAAUAACCAGGUGCUCAACAAAGUAAAAGCGGAUAAAGCGCUGGAAGUCAAUAACGGUCACGAUGGCACAUGGAUCGCUCACCCAGGCCUUGCGGACACGGCAAUGGCGGUAUUCAACGACAUUCUCGGCUCCCGUAAAAAUCAGCUUGAAGUAUUGCGCGAACAAGACGCGCCGAUUACUGCCGAUCAGCUGCUGGCACCUUGUGACGGUGAACGCACCGAAGAAGGUAUGCGCGCCAACAUUCGCGUGGCUGUGCAGUACAUCGAAGCGUGGAUCUCCGGCAACGGCUGCGUGCCGAUUUAUGGCCUGAUGGAAGAUGCGGCGACGGCUGAAAUUUCCCGUACCUCGAUCUGGCAGUGGAUCCAUCAUCAAAAAACGUUGAGCAAUGGCAAACCGGUGACCAAAGCCUUGUUCCGCUAGAUGCUGGGCGAAGAGAUGAAAGUCAUUGCCAGCGAACUGGGCGAAGAACGUUUCUCCCAGGGCCGUUUUGACGAUGCCGCACGCUUGAUGGAACAGAUCACCACUUCCGAUGAGUUAAUUGAUUUCCUGACCCUGCCAGGCUACCGCCUGUUAGCGUAAACCACCACAUAACUAUGGAGCAUCUGCACAUGAAAACCCGUACACAACAAAUUGAAGAAUUACAGAAAGAGUGGACUCAACCGCGUUGGGAAGGCAUUACUCGCCCAUACAGUGCGGAAGAUGUGGUGAAAUUACGCGGUUCAGUCAAUCCUGAAUGCACGCUGGCGCAACUGGGCGCAGCGAAAAUGUGGCGUCUGCUGCACGGUGAGUCGAAAAAAGGCUACAUCAACAGCCUCGGUGCACUGACUGGCGGUCAGGCGCUGCAACAGGCGAAAGCGGGUAUUGAAGCAGUCUAUCUGUCGGGAUGGCAGGUAGCGGCGGACGCUAACCUGGCGGCCAGCAUGUAUCCGGAUCAGUCGCUCUAUCCGGCAAACUCGGUGCCAGCUGUGGUGGAGCGGAUCAACAACACCUUCCGUCGUGCCGAUCAGAUCCAAUGGUCCGCGGGCAUUGAGCCGGGCGAUCCGCGCUAUGUCGAUUACUUCCUGCCGAUCGUUGCCGAUGCGGAAGCCGGUUUUGGCGGUGUCCUGAAUGCCUUUGAACUGAUGAAAGCGAUGAUUGAAGCCGGUGCAGCGGCAGUUCACUUCGAAGAUCAGCUGGCGUCAGUGAAGAAAUGCGGUCACAUGGGCGGCAAAGUUUUGGUGCCAACUCAAGAAGCUAUUCAGAAACUGGUCGCGGCGCGUCUGGCAGCUGACGUGACGGGCGUUCCAACCCUACUGGUUGCUCGUACCGAUGCCGAUGCAGCGGAUCUGAUCACCUCCGAUUGCGACCCGUAUGACAGCGAAUUUAUUACCGGCGAGCGUACCAGUGAAGGCUUCUUCCGUACUCAUGCGGGCAUUGAGCAAGCGAUCAGCCGUGGCCUGGCGUAUGCGCCAUAUGCUGACCUGGUCUGGUGUGAAACCUCCACGCCGGAUCUGGAACUGGCGCGUCGCUUUGCACAAGCUAUCCACGCGAAAUAUCCGGGCAAACUGCUGGCUUAUAACUGCUCGCCGUCGUUCAACUGGCAGAAAAACCUCGACGACAAAACUAUUGCCAGCUUCCAGCAGCAGCUGUCGGAUAUGGGCUACAAGUUCCAGUUCAUCACCCUGGCAGGUAUCCACAGCAUGUGGUUCAACAUGUUUGACCUGGCAAACGCCUAUGCCCAGGGCGAGGGUAUGAAGCACUACGUUGAGAAAGUGCAGCAGCCGGAAUUUGCCGCUAUACCUUCGUAUCUCACCAGCAGGAAGUGGGUACAGGUUACUUCGAUAAAGUGACGACUAUUAUUCAGGGCGGCACGUCUUCAGUCACCGCGCUGACCGGCUCCACUGAAGAAUCGCAGUUCUAAGCAACCGACGGUAAUGACUCCAACUUAUUGAUAGUGUUUUAUGUUCAGAUAAUGCCCGAUGACUUUGUCAUGCAGCUCCACCGAUUUUGAGAACGACAGCGACUUCCGUCCCAGCCGUGCCAGGUGCUGCCUCAGAUUCAGGUUAUGCCGCUCAAUUCGCUGCGUAUAUCGCUUGCUGAUUACGUGCAGCUUUCCCUUCAGGCGGGAUUCAUACAGCGGCCAGCCAUCCGUCAUCCAUAUCACCACGUCAAAGGGUGACAGCAGGCUCAUAAGACGCCCCAGCGUCGCCAUAGUGCGUUCACCGAAUACGUGCGCAACAACCGUCUUCCGGAGACUGUCAUACGCGUAAAACAGCCAGCGCUGGCGCGAUUUAGCCCCGACAUAGCCCCACUGUUCGUCCAUUUCCGCGCAGACGAUGACGUCACUGCCCGGCUGUAUGCGCGAGGUUACCGACUGCGGCCUGAGUUUUUUAAGUGACGUAAAAUCGUGUUGAGGCCAACGCCCAUAAUGCGUGCAGUUGCCCGGCAUCCAACGCCAUUCAUGGCCAUAUCAAUGAUUUUCUGGUGCGUACCGGGUUGAGAAGCGGUGUAAGUGAACUGCAGUUGCCAUGUUUUACGGCAGUGAGAGCAGAGAUAGCGCUGAUGUCCGGCAGUGCUUUUGCCGUUACGCACCACCCCGUCAGUAGCUGAACAGGAGGGACAGCUGAUAGAAACAGAAGCCACUGGAGCACCUCAAAAACACCAUCAUACACUAAAUCAGUAAGUUGGNGUCCCGGUUUAAGCGUGUAGGCUGGUUUUCCAGGCAAAUCCGGAAAAUCAAGGCUGAGGCGUGAUGACGAGGCACUACGGUGCUGAAGCAACAAAUGCCCUGCUUCCAGGAAAAGCCUCUAAGCAUCAGGUAACAUCAAAUCGUACCCCAAACCGACACAGGUGGUCAGGUAGAGAAUACCAAGGCGCUUGAGAGAACUCGGGUGAAGGAACUAGGCAAAAUGGUGCCGUAACUUCGGGAGAAGGCACGCUGAUAUGUAGGUGAAGUCCCUUGCGGAUGGAGCUGAAAUCAGUCGAAGAUACCAGCUGGCUGCAACUGUUUAUUAAAAACACAGCACUGUGCAAACACGAAAGUGGACGUAUACGGUGUGACGCCUGCCCGGUGCCGGAAGGUUAAUUGAUGGGGUCAGCGCAAGCGAAGCUCUUGAUCGAAGCCCCGGUAAACGGCGGCCGUAACUAUAACGGUCCUAAGGUAGCGAAAUUCCUUGUCGGGUAAGUUCCGACCUGCACGAAUGGCGUAAUGAUGGCCAGGCUGUCUCCACCCGAGACUCAGUGAAAUUGAACUCGCUGUGAAGAUGCAGUGUACCCGCGGCAAGACGGAAAGACCCCGUGAACCUUUACUAUAGCUUGACACUGAACAUUGAGCCUUGAUGUGUAGGAUAGGUGGGAGGCUUUGAAGUGUGGACGCCAGUCUGCAUGGAGUCGACCUUGAAAUACCACCCUUUAAUGUUUGAUGUUCUAACGUGGACCCGUGAUCCGGGUUGCGGACAGUGUCUGGUGGGUAGUUUGACUGGGGCGGUCUCCUCCUAAAGAGUAACGGAGGAGCACGAAGGUUGGCUAAUCCUGGUCGGACAUCAGGAGGUUAGUGCAAUGGCAUAAGCCAGCUUGACUGCGAGCGUGACGGCGCGAGCAGGUGCGAAAGCAGGUCAUAGUGAUCCGGUGGUUCUGAAUGGAAGGGCCAUCGCUCAACGGAUAAAAGGUACUCCGGGGAUAACAGGCUGAUACCGCCCAAGAGUUCAUAUCGACGGCGGUGUUUGGCACCUCGAUGUCGGCUCAUCACAUCCUGGGGCUGAAGUAGGUCCCAAGGGUAUGGCUGUUCGCCAUUUAAAGUGGUACGCGAGCUGGGUUUAGAACGUCGUGAGACAGUUCGGUCCCUAUCUGCCGUGGGCGCUGGAGAACUGAGGGGGGCUGCUCCUAGUACGAGAGGACCGGAGUGGACGCAUCACUGGUGUUCGGGUUGUCAUGCCAAUGGCACUGCCCGGUAGCUAAAUGCGGAAGAGAUAAGUGCUGAAAGCAUCUAAGCACGAAACUUGCCCCGAGAUGAGUUCUCCCUGACCCUUUAAGGGUCCUGAAGGAACGUUGAAGACGACGACGUUGAUAGGCCGGGUGUGUAAGCGCAGCGAUGCGUUGAGCUAACCGGUACUAAUGAACCGUGAGGCUUAACCUU